CAUAUUUUCUGAUUCGUUUAAUUUAGAACUGUUUCUUCUUGAUAAACCCCGUCGUUUCUACUUCUUCUAACUUCGAAUCAAAACAUCAAAUCAAACACGAUAAAUAACAUUUCAGCAGAAAUGAGUUCCACAAAAACCAUUUUCGUUUUUUUUUUUCUUCCAAUCUACCUUUCUUAAAUUCAACAACACGAAUCGAAAGAAACAACGAUGAAUGAAUUUAUAAAAUUGGAUUAGACUUACAGUUCGAUUAAUUUUUGUUUAUAAUUGAGGAAAGGUGCUAAUAUCAAGUGUGCGCAACCUACAUUGUAGGAGGCACGGAAAUUAGCUGAUGGUGGUGGCUCUUUUAAUUUUGCUUAUAAAACAGAGUCUGAUGCUUUAGCAGCUGCAAUCGCAAGAUAUUAUUAAGGUGAUGCUUUAGCGGCUGUAGUUGUGAGAUAUUAUUAAGGUGAUGCUUUAGCGGCUGUAGUUGCGAGAUAUGAUUAAGGUGAGUUGAUUGGACCCACAUCAAAGAGAUAAUCAUCUAUAACAACGCCACAAUCUAGAGAGAGCUUAAUGUGAACAUAUGAAAGGGAAGUUCUUUUCUUUGAAAAAUGCGGCUGUAUUUGGUCAUCAAGCAUCCGCAUGAAAAUAUAAAUGGGCAAGGCGGGAACGGGUUGUGGUUAGAGAAAACAAGUAAAUAUGUAUAUGUAUUUAUAUAAAUGUGAAAUUAAAAUUAAUUCUUCUUAAAUA